rnacentral:rRNA from 1 species
UGGGGAAUAUUGCACAAUGGGCGCAAGCCUGAUGCAGCAACGCCGCGUGAACGAUGAAGGUCUUCGGAUCGUAAAGUUCUGUUGCAGGGGAAGAUAAUGACGGUACCCUGUGAGGAAGCCCCGGCUAACUACGUGCCAGCAGCCGCGGUAAUACGUAGGGGGCUAGCGUUAUCCGGAUUUACUGGGCGUAAAGGGUGCGUAGGUGGUCUUUCAAGUCGGUGGUUAAAGGAUACGGCUCAACCAUAGUUAGCCUCCGAAACUGGAAGACUUGAGUGCAGGAGAGGAAAGGGGAAUUCCUAGUGUAGCGGUGAAAUGCGUAGAUAUUGGGGGGAACACCAGUAGCGAAGGCGGCUUUCUGGACUGCAACUGACACUGAGGCACGAAAGCGGGGGUAGCAAACAGG